ensembl:snoRNA
GCAAUGAUGACUUUUGGUUUUGAGCAGCAAUGAAAAUACACUUACCAAUUCCUCUAAGAAGUUCUGAGCUC